GUGGGAGCAAGGCUUGCCCGCGAUACAUACGACCCGGAUUCAGUUUGAUACCGAGGCGCUGCUAUCGCGGGCAAGCCUUGCUCCCAC
rnacentral:misc_RNA from 1 species